rnacentral:rRNA from 1 species
UGGGGAAUAUUGCACAAUGGAGGGAACUCUGAUGCAGCGACGCCGCGUGAGUGAUGAAGGAAUUCGUUUCGUAAAACUCUGUUCUAUGGGAAGAAAAGGACUGUACCAUAGGAGAAAGCUCCGGCUAAAUACGUGCCAGCAGCCGCGGUAAUACGUAUGGAGCGAGCGUUGUCCGGAAUUAUUGGGCGUAAAGGGUGCGCAGGCGGCUUUACAAGUUGGAUGUGAAAUAUUGUGGCUCAACCACAAACGUGCAUCCAAAACUGCAAAGCUUGAGUUAAGGAGAAGUAAGUGGAAUUCCUGGUGUAGCGGUAGAAUGCGUAGAUAUCAGGAGGAAUACCGGUGGCGAAGGCGACUUACUGGACUUAAACUGACGCUCAGGCACGAAAGCGUGGGGAGCAAACAGG